GACGAACGCUGGCGGCGUGCUUAACACAUGCCAGUCGAACGGAAAGGCCUCUUUCGGGGGGUACUCGAGUGGCGAACGGGUGAGUAACACGUGAGUAACCUGCCCUUGACUUUGGGAUAACUUCAGGAAACUGGGGCUAAUACCGGAUAGGAGCUCCUGCUGCAUGGUGGGGGUUGGAAAGUUUCGGCGGUUGGGGAUGGACUCGCGGCUUAUCAGCUUGUUGGUGGGGUAGUGGCUUACCAAGGCUUUGACGGGUAGCCGGCCUGAGAGGGUGACCGGCCACAUUGGGACUGAGAUACGGCCCAGACUCCUACGGGAGGCAGCAGUGGGGAAUAUUGCACAAUGGGUGGAAGCCUGAUGUAGCAACGCCGUGUGCGGGAUGACGGCCUUCGGGUUGUAAACCGCUUUCGCUCAUGACGAAGCUUUGUGUGACGGUAGUGGGUAAAGAAGCACCGGCUAACUACGUG
rnacentral:rRNA from 1 species